rnacentral:rRNA from 1 species
AUUGAACGCUGGCGGAAUGCUUUACACAUGCAAGUCGAACGGCAGCACGGACUUCGGUCUGGUGGCGAGUGGCGAACGGGUGAGUAAUGUAUCGGAACGUGCCCAGUCGUGGGGGAUAACGUAGUGAAAAUUACGCUAAUACCGCAUACGAUCUAUGGAUGAAAGCGGGGGAUCGCAAGACCUCGCGCGAUUGGAGCGGCCGAUAUCAGGUUAGGUAGUUGGUGGGGUAAAGGCCCACCAAGCCAACGAUCUGUAGCUGGUCUGAGAGGACGACCAGCCAAACUGGAACUGGGACCCGGUCCAGACUCCUACGGGGGGCAGCAGUGGGGAAUUUUGGACAAUGGGCGAAAGCCUGAUCCAGCCAUUCCGCGUGCAGGAUGAAGGCCCUCGGGUUGUAAACUGCUUUUGUACAGAACGAAAAGGUUUCUACUAAUACUAGGAGCUCAUGACGGUACUGUAAGAAUAAGCACCGGCUAACUACGUGCCAGCCGCCGCCGUAA